CCGACGCAGCGCGUGUCGUCGUGCUUCGACGCCGGCGGAGCUGAUGGAUCGCAGAGGAAGAACUGUUGACGGAGCUGGAGGAGGGGCGUGGACGUCGUUAGGGAGAGUACGAGAUGUCGCGUUCUUCCCGUUUUUGAGCAUGGAACUCGAUAUUCCAGUGGUCUCCUUUGUUUAACUUUGUAACCAAGUGAGUAAGUUGCGGGCACUUGGCACAAGGCGAACAUCUUAUUUAUGACAAGACCUAUUCAUUUAGUUUUGAAGUACUUCGAGGUCCAGUUUUCAAGAACGGCCACGGUUUGCGUUUUCUGGCUCAUAUUUAUUGAACCUACGUGAGACGGAAAAUGUUACGCCGUUUGUGCGAAUGCGUA
rnacentral:misc_RNA from 1 species